AACGAACGCUGGCGGCAUGCCUAACACAUGCAAGUCGAACGAGACCUUUGGGUCUAGUGGCGCACGGGUGCGUAACGCGUGGGAAUCUGCCCUUGGGUUCGGAAUAACAGUGAGAAAUUGCUGCUAAUACCGGAUGAUGUCUUCGGACCAAAGAUUUAUCGCCCAGGGAUGAGCCCGCGUAGGAUUAGCUAGUUGGUGGGGUAAUGGCCUACCAAGGCGACGAUCCUUAGCUGGUCUGAGAGGAUGAUCAGCCACACUGGGACUGAGACACGGCCCAGACUCCUACGGGAGGCAGCAGUGGGGAAUAUUGGACAAUGGGCGCAAGCCUGAUCCAGCAAUGCCGCGUGAGUGAUGAAGGCCUUAGGGUUGUAAAGCUCUUUUAACAGGGAUGAUAAUGACAGUACCUGGAGAAUAAGCUCCGGCUAACUCCGUG
rnacentral:rRNA from 1 species